UACAGAGGGUGCAAGCGUUAAUCGGAAUUACUGGGCGUAAAGCGAGCGUAGUCGGUUAUUUAAGUCGGAUGUGAAAUCCCCGGGCUCAACCUGGGAAUUGCAUUCGAUACUGGAUAGCUAGAGUUCGGCAGAGGGAAGCGGAAUUUCGGGUGUAGCGGUGAAAUGCGUAGAUAUCCGAAGGAACAUCAGUGGCGAAAAGCGGCUUCCUGGACCAGAACUGAC
rnacentral:rRNA from 1 species